rnacentral:lncRNA from 1 species
UGUUAUUCACAUGUAAGCCCCAAAUCCACCUGGAGUUGUGUGUACGGUGUUGGCGAGGAUCUAAUUUUACUUUUCCCAUAUGGAUCACCACUUGUCCCAACACAUUUAUAAAAGAAUCUGUCUUUCCCCCACUGGUUGGUGAUGUCUCUCUGUCAUAUGGCAAACUCUCCUAUAGUCACAGUUACAUUUCUAUGUCCCUCUUUUGUCCACUUCUUCUCUUUAUAGCUCAAUGUCAAAACCUUUUUACCUUAAUUUCUGCAAAGUUCCCCCCACCACCACUUGGUGGUAUUGGGGAUGGACCCAGAGCCUCAUGAAUGCUAAGCAAGGGCUCUACCACUGAGCUACAUUCCCAGCCCUGUAAAAAAGUCUUAAUAUUUGGUAAGACCUGUAGACUUUAAGGUGAAAAUGAUGUUGUCACCUUGUUACUCCUGGGCUUCAGAGGCCAAGACCAAGGGAUCAGGCGUUCAAUCAGUGACUGGUACAGUGUCCAAGUGAGAGGUGAGCAGCCCUGUCUUAGGUGGUGGCUGAAGAGAGGGCUGGAGUUGGAUGUGACUGGAGGUAAACAGACAGACUUGCUGGAGGACUGCAUGUGAGGGUGAAGCAAAAUAGGAUAAAGAUGGCUCUUUGGCUUUUGGCCUAAGUGGAGGAUGGUAGUGCCAUUUACUGAGAUGAGAAAGCCCGGGUAAAGCUGACAGAUGGGCC